CCCUCUGUGGCCUGAGCGAGGUGCUGUUAUUCAGGCAGAAAGACUAUCACUAUUUGGUUGCGGGUAAUAUUUUUUAUUUUCAAAAUUAAUGAAAGACUGACAAACUUCUCGACUACCUCGACUCGCACGAAUGAUCUGAAACGCGAACCUGGUGAUGCCCGAGGGAAGAAUGCAUCCACCCGGACAACUUAUUCCCGUGGAUUUGCGCCACGGAUCGCGUAACGGCGUUAUCCGGCUGUUUUACAAAGUAGCAGGUAAACUUGAAAAAUAGCUAGCUAGGUAGCUAACUGGCUAACCUCGGCUUUCACCAAACUGUGGCGACUCGUAUUUAUCAGCUCUCCUCGCUCUAAGUGGACGGUGGGGCUGAAGUGAAGAGUUUAAAGAAAAGUUUGUGUGACUGGGAUAACUAGUUGGACCCAGUCUGUGAGUGUGUGUGUGCUGGCGGCUGUUCACACUAAACCUGUCGGAGCUGCUCCAUAACUUCACUCCAGCGUCCCGCUGUCUGUCUAUAGGGAGUUUUACCGAGAGUUAAAACUGAUUCUCGCGUUCAGAGCUUUUCAAUUAGGACAGAAAUAUGCGACAGAGUCGAGACCACGGGAUAUAACGCCGGGGCGUUUUUCUGGGCGGCUUUGCAUUGGCUCGAACAGUUUGGCGUGCGGCCUGCUGGUCAGGCUUUCGCCGCGUUCGAUUUGGGGCUCAAGCCGCACUAGAGCGCGCUCUGCCCGGCCGCCUCUACCAGCCACACUCGGGUUCGCCGAAGAGCCAUGGAGAGGAUGGAGGUGGACCAGUGCGCAGGCGCAGCUGGCGGAGGCGGUGCUCUGCGGCGGUCCAACAGCGCCCCCAUGAUCACUAAUGUCAGUGAUGGGAUGACCGUGUUCAGCUCUAACAGCUCAGCUCGGUAUCGGCGGAGCAGUGUGUCAGUAAACCCAAGCUGCCCUUCUAGGACCCUCCCUCUUUCCCCGUUCUCCUUGCCCAACGAGAGGCCAGAGCACAGGCGUCCGAUGGAGAAUAUGGAACUCACUCUCAGAGGGAGUUUGCAGAGAUUAAGUGCCUCAGCUGCAGUCCCUUUACCUCCUGCAGGACACUGGCAUGAGCAUCUGUCACCAGGAUUCCAUUCCCAGGACUCUGGUGUCACUCCUAAUUCUUCACCCAGUCCAACAAGAAGGUUCCGGGGGGGGUCAAUGAGUCCAGCUGUUAGAUGGCCGGUGGUUGCACCUUUAAAACGAAAAGGUGGAGUGGAAUCUGAUGGCCCACCAAAGAAGCUCUUUGUUGCUGGAGUUGCAGAUCCUGCCCAUAUAACUAGCUGCACUGUCAGUGUUUCCCAGUCUGUGGACUCUUCCUCAGGAGCUAUGCCCAUAUGUUCAAGCCCUCAGAGCAGCCCUCUUUCGCUCUCCCCUCCACCACCUUUCACCUCUCACCACCCCAGCAUCUAA
rnacentral:lncRNA from 1 species